rnacentral:rRNA from 1 species
UACGUAGGGGGCUAGCGUUAUCCGGAAUUACUGGGCGUAAAGGGUGCGUAGGUGGUUUCUUAAGUCAGAGGUGAAAGGCUACGGCUCAACCGUAGUAAGCCUUUGAAACUGGGGAACUUGAGUGCAGAAGAGGAGAGUGGGAUUCCUAGUGUAGCGGUGAAAUGCGUAGAUAUUAGGAGGAACACCAGUUGCGAAGGCGGCUCUCUGGACUGUAACUGACACUGAGGCACGAAAGCGUGGGGAGCAAACAGG